UGCCUAACCCUCGGGAGAGAUCCUGAGAUAUGGCACAAAUCCAUCCCUGAUACUGAACCCUUCGUUCAGCAACCAGGGAUGGCUGUAUCCAGAAAUGGGUAUGGGCGGUCGAAAGACUGC
rnacentral:sRNA from 1 species